rnacentral:lncRNA from 1 species
AAGCUAAAGGGGCUGGCACCGCAGCAGGGGUGCGGAGAGGGACUGGGGGCGGGUGAGUACUGCUCCCGCAGCUCUGCUGGCCCUCUCUCUGCCCCGAGCUGUGCCUGGACAAUCCUCCUCGUCCUCCCGGCCCCCGCUCGCCAAUGCUGUGGCCUGCACCUGCAUCGCUCUCUGGGAACCUCGGAGACCUCAACUCCUUCGUACUGGUCUUACCCCUUCGUACUGGUCGGGGUUUACUGCAGGUCCACCUCCCCUAGGCCAUGGCCAGGUGGGGGAAGGUCACUCCAGGACGCUAGUGACUCUGCCCAGCUCUGCUCCGCCUCUCUGCUUAUGCACCUGCCGCCCCCUCGCACUCUCUGCCACUGCGGUUGCAGUUCCGGCCCGUCCCUCUUCUGCAGGCCAGCCCAGCGGGCAGCCUCGGUUCCUGACUCCUGGUCUGUGCUUGUGGGCGGCCUGAACCACCUCAAUCCGGACAAUUGCCAAACCCACCCUGGGCUGUAGCUGGGAACCGGUUGUGGCUCCUGCCAGUCUAGACCCCGGGGAACAAUUUAUGCACGUGACCCAGCCACCUAAGACUCUCCUGGCCCAGGUCUGGAAUGGAGUCUAUGACCUAUGUGAGGAGAGUAUGAAAAUAACAAAUAGAGACCCUGUAGCCUAAGGAUCAAGAUUCUAGUUAUCCUCAUAGUCCAGAGGGUCGGACAAGAGGACCAGAAGUUCAAAGUCAUCUUCUGCUGCAUAAAUCUGAGGCUAAGCUAGCUCCAUGAGACCUUGCCUCAGAACCCCAAAGAGACCUUUUCAACCUAGCUUCUUUGGGCCUAUAUGGUGGAGGUGGCCGCAACCAAGAGAAAACGAUAUAUAGAGAAUGGUGUUGGCUUUGUUCUGGCAAAACAGAGAUUCAGACAAAGGCCAGAAGAUAAUGGUGGUGCUCCUGAAUAGAGGUCCCCUGGUUCAAACGUCCAUCUACUGGAACAAGGUCAAUGAUCCUCCAGGGACUCUCAACUCCCUAUCUACGCACUCUCUACAGCAAAACAUCCUGUGCUUGGGAAAGUCUGAGCUGAACCCAGCUCCUGUGGCUUCUGCUCAAUCUUAGUUCCUUGUUUGCAAGAAUGAGAGGCAAACAGCAAGCCUUGUGCAUCUUUGUAUAGAUAGAAAACAACCCUCCCAACCCCCCAUUUUACAGUAUUUGGGUUUGGCUUUUUUUCUCUUUCUUUUCUCUUCUCUUUCUUCUCUUCUCUUCUCUUCUCUUCUCUUCUCUUCUCUUCUCUUCUCUUCUCUUCUCUUCUCUUCUCCUCUCCUCUCCUCUCCUCUCCUCUCCUCUCCUCUCUUCCUCUUCCUCUUCCUCUUCCUCUUCCUCUUCCUCUUCCUCUUCCUCUUCCUCUUCCUCUUCCUCUUCCUCUUCCUCUCCUCUCCCUCUCCUCUCCCUCUCCUCUCUGUGGGAAGCCAACUCCAAGAUGGCGCCGGUUUCCGGUUGCCGUUGUCAUAAACAACACCACUGCGCAGGCGUCAAUUCGAAUUUGGGGCCAACCCCUCCCAAGCGGGUGCAUGCAAAUUGGGUGCUGGCAGACUGACCAACCCCAGGGGGCCACGGAGCCUUCUCCUGUGCUGGGGUACAUAUAAGCAGGGCUCCCUGGGCGCCUGGGGUCCCCGUAGAAGCAUCAAGGCGAUCCUGCAAUAAAGGCUGUUGAGAAGAAUCCGA